rnacentral:rRNA from 1 species
AACGAACGCUGGCGGCAGGCCUAACACAUGCAAGUCGAGCGAGGACUUCGGUCCUAGCGGCGGACGGGUGAGUAACGCGUGGGAACGUGCCCUUUGCUUCGGAAUAGCCCUGGGAAACUGGGAGUAAUACCGAAUGUGCCCUUUGGGGGAAAGAUUUAUCGGCAAAGGAUCGGCCCGCGUUGGAUUAGGUAGUUGGUGGGGUAACGGCCUACCAAGCCGACGAUCCAUAGCUGGUUUGAGAGGAUGAUCAGCCACACUGGGACUGAGACACGGCCCAGACUCCUACGGGAGGCAGCAGUGGGGAAUCUUAGACAAUGGGCGCAAGCCUGAUCUAGCCAUGCCGCGUGAGCGAUGAAGGCCUUAGGGUUGUAAAGCUCUUUCAGCGAGGAAGAUAAUGACUGUACUCGCAGAAGAAGCCCCGGCUAACUCCGUGCCAGCCGCCGCUGUAAUAC